UCCAUGAACCCAACUCUCUAGUCACAUUUGCUUGGCUGUGCUACCAAAUAGUUGGGAUCGUGGA
ensembl:miRNA